UGGGGAAUCUUGGACAAUGGGCGAAAGCCUGAUCCAGCAAUGCCGCGUGCGUGAAGAAGGCCUUCGGGUUGUAAAGCGCUUUUGUCGGGGAGGAAAUCCUAACUUCUAAUAAAGGUUGGGGAUGACAGUACCCGAAGAAUAAGGACCGGCUAACUACGUGCCAGCAGCCGCGGUAAUACGUAGGGUCCGAGCGUUAAUCGGAAUUACUGGGCGUAAAGCGUCCGCAGGUGGCUUGAUAAGAUAGACGUGAAAUCCCUGGGCUCAACCUAGGAAUUGCGUUUAUGACUGUCUCGCUAGAGUAUGGGAGAGGGGGGUGGAAUUCCACGUGUAGCAGUGAAAUGCGUAGAGAUGUGGAGGAACACCGAUGGCGAAGGCAACCCCCUGGCCUAAUACUGACACUCAUGGACGAAAGCGUGGGGAGCAAACA
rnacentral:rRNA from 1 species